GACGUAGGGUGCAAGCGUUGUCCGGAAUUAUUGGGCGUAAAGAGCUCGUAGGCGGUCUGUCGCGUCGGCUGUGAAAACCCGGGGCUCAACCCCGGGCCUGCAGUCGAUACGGGCAGACUAGAGUGCGGUAGGGGAGACUGGAAUUCCUGGUGUAGCGGUGAAAUGCGCAGAUAUCAGGAGGAACACCGGUGGCGAAGGCGGGUCUCUGGGCCGUAACUGACGCUGAGGAGCGAAAGCGUGGGGAGCGAACAGG
rnacentral:rRNA from 1 species